rnacentral:lncRNA from 1 species
GGUGACUUCAUGGCGAUGAAUUCCCACUUUGUGGGAAGAUGUGCCCCAAAGAAAAGUAGAAAGUCUCUGGUUUCUGGGAAAUGGAGCUCUGGAUUUUGUAAGAGUGGGUGUCAAUAGGUAGUUUUGGCUUGAAGAGAUGAGGGAACAAAGGAAGCUUCUGGAAAGCAGAGGCUUUAUAAAUUAUCAAAUAAGCUGCAUUAGGAGGGAGGGUAAAGCCACUUCAGAAAAAUGUAAGAACACUAUAUUAGUCAGCUUCUUAUCACUAUAAUGAAGUAUCUGAGGCAAGCUGUAUGUGAAGAGAAGAGGUUCUGGAGUGUCAAGUGUAUGUUGCCUGCAUUGGCUCAAAUCUGGUGAGUGUCCUCUCAGCUGUAUUACAUCACAAUAGAUGGCAAUGAUGGCAGUACAUUUGGGAGCAAAGGAUUACAUUUUGAUAUGGGAAGCCAGAGAAAGACUCAGGGAUUAGGCUCCUAAUUAAUAAAUGAGCCAAGGACAUGAACAGACACUUCUCAGAACAGGAUAUUCAAUCAAUCAACGAAUAUAUAAAAAAUGUUCUCUAGUAAUUACAGAAAGCAAAUCAAAACUACUCUAAGAUACCAUCUCACUCCAGUCAGAAUGGCAGCUAUUAUGAAGACAAACAACAAUAAGUGUUGGCGAGGAUGUGGGGAAAAAGGUACUGUCUUACAUUGCUGAUGGAACUGCAAAUUGGUGCAGCCAGUAUCUAAAGCAGUAUGGAGAUUCCUGGGAAAGCUGGGAAUGGAACCACCAUUUGACCCAGCUAUCCCUCUCCUUGGUCUAUACCCAAAGGACUUAAAAAUAGCAUACCACAGGGACACAGCCACAUCAAUGUUUAUAGCAGCACAAUUCACAAUAGCUAAACUGUGCAACCAACCUAGAUGUCCUUCAGUAGAUGAAUGGAUAAAGAAAAUGUGGCAUAUAUACACAAUGGAAUAUUACUCAGCAAUAAAAGAGAAUAAAAUCAUGGCAUUUACAGGCAUAUGGAUGCAGUUGGAGAAGAUAAUGCUAAGUGAAGUUAGCCAAUCCCAAAAAAACCAAAUGCUGAAUGUUUUCUCUGAUAUAAGGUGACUGACUCAUAGUGGGGUAGGGAGGGAGAGUAUGGG